AAAUAUGAUCCACGUAAAACCAAGCUGAUAAUAGCCCAAGCUAAGAUUUUAAAGAAACAUCACUCCAACACUUAAAGGGGCGCCUGGGUGGCUCAGUCAGAUGGGGAGCUCUGGCAGAAUGUUCUGGCCUGUGUGCAACGACUGAAUUCUCUCUGCCAAGGGAUAAAGCUAAAAUCUGCUUUCUUGGAAACCAGCUAAUGUCUUUAAGAAGCAUGACCCCAGUUAGGGAGAGAUUGGGAACUUUGAAUAAAGCGGAGGGUAAGAAAAUAAUUUUCAGCGUUCACAGGUACGGUAAUUUACAAGGAUAUUAGGAUCUGAAUACCAAGAAAUAAUUUAAAAAUAGAAUUUUCAGGGUGCCUGGGUGGCUCAGUCGGUUAAGCAUCUGGCU